AUUGAACGCUGGCGGCAGGCCUAACACAUGCAAGUCGAACGGUAACAGGAAGAAGCUUGCUUCUUUGCUGACGAGUGGCGGACGGGUGAGUAAUGUCUGGGAAACUUCCUGAUGUAGGGGGAUAACUACUGGAAACGGUAGCUAAUACCGCAUAACGUCGCAAGCCCAAAAAGGGUGACCUUCGGGCCUCUUGCCAUCGUAUGUGCCCAGAUGGGAUUAGCUAGUAGGUGGGGUAACGGCUCACCUAGGCGACGAUCCCUAGCUGGUCUGAGAGGAUGACCAGCCACACUGGAACUGAGACAAGGUCCAGACUCCUACGGGAGGCAGCAGUGGGGAAUAUUGCACAAUGGGCGCAAGCCUGAUGCAGCCAUGCCGCGUGUAUGAAGAAGGCCUUCGGGUUGUAAAGUACUUUCAGCGGGGAGGAAGGGAGUAAAGUUAAUACCUUUGCUCAUUGACGUUACCCGCAGAAGAAGCACCGGCUAACUCCGUG
rnacentral:rRNA from 1 species